AUUGAACGCUGGCGGCAUGCUUUACACAUGCAAGUCGAACGGCAGCGCGGGCUUCGGCCUGGCGGCGAGUGGCGAACGGGUGAGUAAUGCAUCGGAACGUGCCCAGUAGUGGGGGAUAGCCCGGCGAAAGCCGGAUUAAUACCGCAUACGACCUGAGGGUGAAAGCGGGGGACCGAAAGGCCUCGCGCUAUUGGAGCGGCCGAUGUCGGAUUAGCUAGUUGGUGGGGUAAAGGCUUACCAAGGCGACGAUCCGUAGCUGGUCUGAGAGGACGACCAGCCACACUGGGACUGAGCCACGGCCCAGACUCCUACGGGAGGCAGCAGUGGGGAAUUUUGGACAAUGGGGGCAACCCUGAUCCAGCCAUGCCGCGUGCGGGAAGAAGGUCUUCGGGUUGUAAACCGCUUUUGUUCGGGAAGAAAUCCUCUGGGCUAACACCCCGGGGGGAUGACGGUACCGGAAGAAUAAGCACCGGCUAACUACGUG
rnacentral:rRNA from 1 species